rnacentral:tRNA from 1 species
UCCCUAGUGACUCAGAUGGUAAAGAACCCACCUGUAAUGCAGGAGACCCAGGUUCAAUCCCUGGUUCGGGAA